UACGGAGGGGGCGAGCGUUGUCCGGAAUUAUUGGGCGUAAAGCGCGCGCAGGCGGUUUCUUAAGUCUGAUGUGAAAGCCCCCGGCUCAACCGGGGAGGGUCAUUGGAAACUGGGAAACUUGAGUGCAGAAGAGGAAAGUGGAAUUCCAAGUGUAGCGGUGAAAUGCGUAGAGAUUUGGAGGAACACCAGUGGCGAAGGCGACUUUCUGGUCUGUAACUGACGCUGAGGCGCGAAAGCGUGGGGAGCAAACAGG
rnacentral:rRNA from 1 species